rnacentral:rRNA from 1 species
UACGGGGGGGGCAAGCGUUGUUCGGAAUUACUGGGCGUAAAGGGUUCGUAGGUGGCUCGCUAAGCCAGACGUGAAAUCCCUCAGCUUAACUGGGGAACUGCGUCUGGGACUGGCGAGCUCGAGUGCGGGAGAGGAAUGCGGAAUUCCAGGUGUAGCGGUGAAAUGCGUAGAUAUCUGGAGGAACACCGGUGGCGAAGGCGGCAUUCUGGACUGCAACUGACACUGAGGAGCGAAAGCCAGGGGAGCAAACGGG